rnacentral:lncRNA from 1 species
CUCACCAAGCAGGGCUGGAGCAGCGCGUACUCCAUAGAAUCGGUUAUUAUGCAGAUCAACGCCACCCUAGUCAAAGGCAAGGCCAGGGUGCGCUUUGGAGCAGAUAAGAAUCAAUAUAAUCUAGAAACAGCCCAACAGUCCUAUGACUCUGUCGUGCAGAUGCAUGAGAAAAAAGGCUGGUUCACUCCUCCAAAGGAAGAUGGGUAAAUAGACUGCCAUGUGUUUGGAAAAAUGUAGCUUUAAAGACACAAGCUUUGCAUAUCUUUGUAACAGUAGUGCGGAAGAUAUUAGCUAAUUGGUGUUUUAGUGGAUAAUCUGUCAACUGACCGCCAGUAGACGUUUCAACCUUUUCGUUUUGCUUACUGUGGGGGUCUUGGGCCAAACUGUGAGCCUUUACUGUGGUUUUCCCUGAUAAAUAAUCAUAGUGUUCAUUUUUCGUCAUCCGUUUUCCUUGAUGUGAAUGUGUUAAGUAGGCCAGUCAGUUGUGACUUUAGAUAAUUUUCGUUUAUUGAGCUAUUUGGGGAGGGAGGGGGGUAAUAAGUAUUUACAAACAUUUGUUCCAUUUAGUGCCAAUAAAAGUUUUGCCAGUGUCCAAUACUGGCUCAGAA